UACGUAGGGUGCAAGCGUUAAUCGGAAUUACUGGGCGUAAAGCGUGCGCAGGCGGUUUUGUAAGUCUGAUGUGAAAUCCCCGGGCUCAACCUGGGAACUGCAUUUGUGACUGCAUCGCUGGAGUGCGGCAGAGGGGGAUGGAAUUCCGCGUGUAGCAGUGAAAUGCGUAGAUAUGCGGAGGAACACCGAUGGCGAAGGCAAUCCCCUGGGCCUGCACUGACGCUCAUGCACGAAAGCGUGGGGAGC
rnacentral:rRNA from 1 species